UGCAUAUCAAUAAGCGGAGGAAAAGAAACCAACAGGGAUUGCCUCAGUAACGGCGAGUGAAGCGGCAAAAGCUCAAAUUUGAAAUCUGGUACCUUCGGUGCCCGAGUUGUAAUUUGAAGAUUGUACUCUGGAGUUGGCCCUUGUCUAUGUUCCUUGGAACAGGACGUCACAGAGGGUGAGAAUCCCGUGCGAUGGGGUGUCCAAUUCCAUGUAGAGUGCUAUCGAAGAGUCGAGUUGUUUGGGAAUGCAGCUCUAAGUGGGUGGUAAAUUCCAUCUAAAGCUAAAUAUUGGCGAGAGACCGAUAGCGAACAAGUACAGUGAUGGAAAGAUGAAAAGAACUUUGAAAAGAGAGUGAAAAAGUACGUGAAAUUGUUGAAAGGGAAGGUUAUUAGAUCAGACUUGGUGUUUGGCGAUAUUCAGCCUCUUGUAGGCUGUUCACUCGUCUUUCACUGGGCCAGCAUCGGUUUGGAUGGCAGGAUAAUGGCUGUUGAACGUGGCUCUUCGGAGUGUUAUAGCUUCAGCUGAUACUGCCUAUCUAGACCGAGGACUGCGGCUUUCGAGCCUAGGAUGCUGGCGUAAUGAUCUAAUAUCGCCCGUCUUG
rnacentral:rRNA from 1 species